rnacentral:lncRNA from 1 species
CAUUCAUCAAUCUAUGUGUCACCAAUAACUGUUAGGUGAGGUGGCAUGUAAAUUGAUGGAACCGCAGUACCCACUAGAAACCCUAGUCGUGUAGGAUUUCCGUUUUCCUACCAUUUGAGUGUGAGGGAUUCGAGAAAAUAGUGGGAGUUACAUUUGUUCUAAAAGACCUUAGAACAGAUUAGGAUCAAGUACAAAAGUCCAACUAGAAUCUUUACUCUCUGCAGAUACAAUGUCAGCUUCAAACCCUUUGACCCGUAUUCUUGAGACCAACCGAUUGACCGGAACCAAUUACAAGGACUGGCUUAGAAACCUCAAAAUUGUUUUGGACUGUGAGAAAAUAGGCUACAUACUCGAUUCAGAUAGCCCCACACUACCAACACGUCCUACUGAUGUUCAGCGACAGAUGCAUCAAAAGUGGAUGGAUGAUGACAUUAGAGUUAAAUGCUAUAUGAUGGCAUCCAUAUCCAAUGAACUCCA